UACGUAGGGGGGCAAGCGUUGUCCGGAUUUAUUGGGCGUAAAGAGCGUGUAGGCGGCCAUACAGGUCCGUUGUGAAAACUCGAGGCUCAACCUCGAGACGUCGAUGGAAACCGUAUGGCUAGAGUCCGAAAGAGGGUCGCGGAAUUCCCGGUGUAGAGGUGAAAUUCGUAGAUAUCGGGAGGAACACCGGUGGCGAAGGCGGCGACCUGGGUCGAUACUGACGCUGAUGCGCGAAAGCG
rnacentral:rRNA from 1 species